CGUCUAUAUACGUAUAGCAUAUCAAUAAGCGGAGGAAAAGAAACUAACUAGGAUUCCCUCAGUAACGGCGAGUGAAGCGGGAAGAGCUCAAAUUUGAAAUCUUCAAGGUUCUACCUUGACGAAUUGUAGUUUAAAGAAGUGUUUUCUGUUGGAGUUUUGGUAAAAGUUCUUUGGAAUAGGACAUCAUAGAGGGUGAGAAUCCCGUAUUUGACCAUUAUUUCCAACUUUGUGAUACACUUUCAAAGAGUCGGACUGUUUGGGAAUGCAGUCCAAAGUGGGUGGUAAAUUUCAUCUAAAGCUAAAUACUGGCGAGAGACCGAUAGCGAACAAGUACCGUGAGGGAAAGAUGAAAAGAACUUUGAAAAGAGAGUUAAACAGUACGUGAAAUUGUCAAAAGGGAAGCGUUUGACACCAGUGUUGUUUUCUCGAAAAUCAAUUAAAAAUGAUGGGAUUUUGUGUUGUAUUGACUUUAUCAGCUUUCUGCACCUUUUUCUUAGUCUUUUUUAAUGCACUUUUCGUUUAACAAGUCAACAUCAAUUUCUUUUGUUGUAAAAGGGUCAUUGGAAGGUGGCUUUCUUUUCGGAGAAAGUGUUUAUAGCCUUUGCCUCUGCAAUCGGAGAGAUUGAGGUCUGCAGCGUAGAUCCUUCGGGGUUAGAUGCAUUUGUGUUAAGCUAUAGCCUUUCAUAGACAACUUGUUGACUAUGAUCAGUCAUGUAGCUUACUCGCUUAUGCUAUUUUACCUACGCUUAGGAUGUUGAUCUGUAGUGCGUGCGC
rnacentral:rRNA from 1 species